UAUCAGAGUGAGAUUAAGCCAUGCGAGUCAACGUAGCAACACGUGGCAUACGGCUCAGUAACACGUAGUCAACAUAACCAAAGGACGUGGAUAAACUCGGGAAACUGAGGCUAAACCGCGAUAGAUCAACAUACCUGGAAUGGUUUUUGAUCAAAAUCUAUAUGGCCUUUGGAUUGGACUGCGUCCGAUCAGGCUGUUGGUGAGGUAACGGCCCACCAAACCUAUAACCGGUACGGGCUCUGAGAGGAGGAGCCCGGAGAUGGGUACUGAGAUAAGGACCCAGGCCCUAUGGGGCGCAGCAGGCGCGAAACCUCUGCAAUAGGCGAAAGCUUGACAGGGUUACUCUGAGUGACUUUCGUUAAGAAAGUCUUUUGACACCUCUAAAAAUGGUGUAGAAUAAGGGGUGGGCAAGUC
rnacentral:rRNA from 1 species